GAGCAAAUACAGCGUCUGAGGAUAAAACGGAGCGGAGCCGCGGGGCCGUGAGGACGGACGCGGCACCUGCUGCACAGCCCCCCCCCAGGCUGGAGCCGCCGGAAGCGCUGCACCUGCGCGGCCGCCGCCCUCACACCGUUCCGUGGGCAGAAGUCUGGAAGCUUCCCUUUCAGAUGGAGGGCUCACGGGAUUCUUCUGACACUUGGACUUGAAAACCUCAGCUGGACGGUUCUUCGUAACCCUUUCUGUCCUGCCUCUGUGUGCCCUUCCCCCUUCUCCAGGUGUCCCAACUCCCGCCUGCCCAGGGAAUAGGGUGUCAAAAAUCACACACGGGUCUCAGCAGUAGUUGACCCUAACUAUCAACAAGAGGGUUACAAAAAUA